UGCGAACGGGUGAGUAACGCGUAGGUAACCUACCUCAUAGCGGGGGAUAACUAUUGGAAACGAUAGCUAAUACCGCAUAAGAGAGACUAACGCAUGUUAGUAAUUUAAAAGGGGCAAUUGCUCCACUAUGAGAUGGACCUGCGUUGUAUUAGCUAGUUGGUGAGGUAAAGGCUCACCAAGGCGACGAUACAUAGCCGACCUGAGAGGGUGAUCGGCCACACUGGGACUGAGACACGGCCCAGACUC
rnacentral:rRNA from 1 species